UGAGUCCGAGGAACUAAGGUUCCAAAGUGAUGCGAGUCAUACUUCCCAGAAAAGCCCGAACCACGUUAAUUUCUAAUUACCUGUACCCGAAACCGACACAGGUGGGUAGGUAGAGUAUACUAAGGGGCGCGAGAUAACUCUCUCUAAGGAACUCGGCGAAAUGACUCCGUAACUUCGGGAGAAGGAGUGCCUUAUUUAUAAGGUUGCAAUAACAAGAUCCAAGCAACUGUUUAUCAAAAACACAGGUCUCCGCUAAGUCGUAAGACGAUGUAUGGGGGCUGACGCCUGCCCAGUGCCAGAAGGUUAAAGAAGUUGGUUAGUGUAUGCGAAGCUGAUGACUGAAGCCCUGGUGAACGGCGGCCGUAACGAUAACGGUCCUAAGGUAGCGAAAUUCCUUGUCGGGUAAGUUCCGACCCGCACGAAAGGCGUAAUGAUUUGGAUACUGUCUCGGAGAGAGGCUCGGGGAAAUAGACUUGUCUGUGAAGAUGCGGACUACCUGCACCAGGACAGAAAGACCCUAUGAAGCUUUACUGUAACUUGAAAUUGGAAUUGGACUUUGCUUGCGCAGUAUAGGUGGGAAGCGUUGAAGAUAUUCUUGCGGGAGUAUUGGAGCUAUCAGUGAGAUACCACUCUUGUAAUGUUAGAUUUCUAACUUUGAACCAUAAUCUGGUCAAAGAACAGUUUCAGGUGGGCAGUUUGACUGGGGCGGUCGCCUCCCAAAUGGUAACGGAGGCGUACAAAGGUUUCCUCUGAACGGAUAGAAAUCGUAUCUAGAGUGUAAAGGCAUACGGAAGCUUGACUGUGAGACCUGCAAGUCGAGCAGGGACGAAAGUCGAUCUUAGUGAUCUGACGGUACUGAGUGGAAAGGCCGUCACUCAACGGAUAAAAGUUACUCUAAGGAUAACAGGCUGAUCUCCCCCAAGAGUUCACAUCGACGGGGAGGUUUGGCACCUCGAUGUCGGCUCAUCGCAUCCUGGGGCGGUAGUACGUCCCAAGGGUUGGGCUGUUCGCCCAUGAAAGCGGUACGCGAGCUGGGUUCAGAACGUCGUGAGACAGUUCGGUCCAUAUCCGGUGUAGGCGUUAGAAUAUUGAGAGGAGCCUUCUUUAGUACGAGAGGACCGAGAAGGACACACCGCUGGUGUACCAGUUAUCGUGCCAACGGUAAACGCUGGGUAGCUAUGUGUGGAGUGGAUAACCGCUGAAAGCAUCUAAGUGGGAAGCCCACCUCAAGAUGAG
rnacentral:rRNA from 1 species